rnacentral:tRNA from 1 species
GGGCAAGUGGUGGAAUGGCAUACACGAAGGACUUAAAAUCCUUUGGCCGUAAGGUCGUGAGGGUUCAACUCCCUCCUUGCCCACCA